GGAGGCCAAUGAUGAUUAUAAAAUUGCCUACAUUGUCUGAUCAAUGUGUGAUUGAAUUUUCCUAUUUCUCUGAAGGCCUCC